CGGGAGGAGAGGAGCAGCGGAGGACGGGGACGCAGCCAGCGUGAGGGUGGGCGCUGAGCUCCACCACUGGUGCAGAAAAGCGGCCGAGGAGCUGCCAGGGUGUAAGGUGGAUUUGUGAGGGUGUGUGUGAAGGUGCUUUCAGAAGACAAAAUGUCUUGAGCUUUGUGCUCCCUUUCUAUGGGCUAGUUCAAUCCAUCGGGGACUCUCCAAAGGGGACAGGAAUAACAUGAGAUCUGAUCUGGUCCUCUCAAGGAACUGAGAAAGCUGAAUUCCUCCUGAGCUUUACCCAAUAUUUUACUGACCUCCUGCUCUAAAACAUCCCUCAUUAAGACUGCUGGUCUUAAGCCAAAGGCCUCAGCGCGGGUGACAAGUGCUGUGCAGACGGAUGUGUCCCUGCAGGACUGGGGAGCAGCUUUGCCAGUUUUGUAAGAUGCCGUAUCCGUGAACCGCUGGCUGCCGACGCUCCUGCGCUGUGGGGUGGAGCUGAGGGCGUUGUGUAACAUCUGCCCUUUGAUUUGCAUGGAAUACUAAUUGCAGGCAGCCUCCCACCCAGACCUAGAGGUACAGGCGCGCCCCUCCGGGCAGAACCGCCUGCGGGGGUGGGCUAAGAGCUCAUAUCCCAAGGCUCCCGAAAUGUUUUCAUUUUUGCGGCUCUCCCGCUCCUGUUCUUGCGCCAGCGCCAUGCACCUCCUAGGACAGAAAUUAACAGGAGAAAAAAAUUACGGAGACUGACGAGAAGAAACAUCUGUCGGCCAAAUGGUCUCUCAGACCGAAGCUGCAGUUUUCAGUCUAUGAACGGCACUUUUUGUGUCCUGCCAGAGGGUGAACCUGGACGGGUGCCCAGGAGUCAAACAAGAGCUGAGCAGAGACAGCAUCAGCACAGCCGGAAAUAGAGGAAAAGGCGGAAUUUUUGUGGAAUCUUCACUCUUUCCUGCUGGUUUCCUGCUUACUACAUGUGAGCAACAGAGACAGCUUUUGUAUUGGCAACUGCAGCACAGCAGCUAUUCUGGGAUGGCCAGGCUGAGGAAAAGAGCCCACGGACAACCCACUGCCACGCGCCCGACUUCAGCCGCUGUUGUGAUGGACAAUUCACCCAAGAACCGCGCUGGUUUCCAUGAGUUUGGUCGAAGUUCUCAGUCUCCCUCUUUUUAUUUCUGUCCUUCCUUUGGCAAAGCCCAUUGGCCGCCAGGGACGGGCCGCGGGAGCCGCCGGUCACCGGCACACAAGCUGCUCCGUUAGGUUGGUUUUCCCUCUCGUGGUCAUGAGAGUUUCUGUUUAUUGAUAUAGGCGGUUCUAUGUGGUCUAUUAACCCAGGAAAACCUUUAUCUGGAGAUCUCACAAACAUGGGUUUUUUUUGGUGCAAGGAUUAAUAAAAACCUUUUGCUUAAGCUUCCUGCUAUUGAAGAACAAAAAUUAAGAUAGACAUUCACCAAGACGUUUCUUUCAUUGUGUUUUGGACUUGGUAUGGCAGUGAAGUAGUGUGAUUUAUGGCGAACACUACAUCCAGCAGCAGGCUGAUGUAAGCUGUGAGUGUGUGUUUUUAUAGAGAGAUUACAUUUAUCUCAAAGCCAGAAGGCUGGUGGGGGAACUUUCCCAGGGUCCUCACAGUAUUUUGCAUAGAAAGGAGGAAAAAACCCAACACGAAACCUUACAAAAAUAGAUAUCAUACUGCAGUUUUGGAAUGGCUUAUGCUAUAAAAACCUGACCUACCCGUGAACAAACUGCAGUCGGACUAAAUGCCUCUGCUUCUCAUGCAAGGGAAGCUUGCUUUCUUUUAAAAGAAAACAGUCCGUGCCCCAUCCCAAAGUGGCCUACGAGCGAGUGCCAGAGGGAUGGGAGGCUUGACAGAUAAUUCGCUAACCAACACUUUGUUAUCGUUAUGGCUCAAACAUGAUUAAUUCCCGUGGAAUUUGUUGUAAUAAUAUUAGCUUUGGUGAUCUCAUUUGUUAAACAUGUUGCUGCCAUUAGGACUCCAGUGCGUUACCUAGAAGACACUGAGCUCGGUCUGUGCCGUACCUGCUGUGGGGUCUGGGUCUCCUCACCUGCCUCUGCUGCCCAGUUCUUCCCUCAAGCCGUCAAGGAAGAACACUGGCACCGGGGUUCGGGACCAGUCCAACCUCCCAGCUGCCACUCCACUCACUGGGAAAUGUUCGCUUUGUUUAAUUUGUCUUCGCUGAGUUUUGGCAUUCACUUCUCUGUCAUCUUCAUCCCCCUGGUCAAAUGUCUCCUCUUUAUCCACCUUCUUACUUCUCUCUCCUGAUGGGUACUGGGUUCUGCUGCCCCAGACUGUUCCUUCCAUCUGCAGCACAACUCUCAGCUGAACUUUAUUACAAAAGGAAGGAAAGAUUAAAUCAGUUUAUAACUCUUUUUUGUUUGCCAAAUGUAUGUGGGACAAUCACAGCUGCUGUCAGAGGUUUCUAGAGUCAGAUCUUCUACCCAGGAUUUAGAACAGCGAUCCACUUUCAAUGAAGGGACCACGGCGGUUCCCUCUAUACUGUUUAACUCUCAUGCAAUUGAACAAGGUUUGCCAGAUACUUAGAGUCAGACUACUGCACUUUUCUUGAGUUUGAGCUCUGCUCCCCAGCAUCUCCCCCCUGCUGUGUGCACCCAGCAAGCCGGCGCUGCAGGAGAUGCUUGUGUGGGUGCGCAGCGCUGGAGAGGAGCUGCUGGGGGCCAGGGCAGGACCCGGGGCUGCUCGGGGCUUCACAGACCCCGACCGGCAGCCCGCAACCCCGGACCCUGAGCUGCCGCGGCCCCGUGCUCCCUUUGCAGGUCUGCCCUGUGCGGGUAUUACACUCUCAUUUCACAGCAGUUGUAAAAGUGCUUUGGUGCCUGCACCACGAGAUGUACAAUUAAUGAUCAAUUUCUUUGUCCUCCCAAGGACAUGUUGUCCUGUUCUCUCAAUGGGCUCUGCAAACAUGACUUAAUGCAUUUCCCUUGGCUUCAUUUCAUCUCGUUCUUUUUAAUUUUAGCCUGUAUCUGAAACCAAUGGGAUGAAACUGUGCAAAAGGACAUUUAAGAUUGAAAGUUGGUUAGAAAAAUAUCACAGCAGCAAGAUCUGUAAAACCUUGGCAGCAUUUCCAAAGGUGAGGGGACGGAAGCCCUUAAAUCAUGUUAAUCUGGGCCUGGUAAGCAGUUUGGGAAUGUGCUGCGGGGGAACUGCACAUGAGGAUGCACUCACAGACUGGCACCAGCGAAGAGUUUUAAAUGCUGAAUGACCCCGAUGUGUUUUUAACUACUCUUCCACCAUGUGUGGACCACCCUGCACUUCAGGAAUACUCAGCACUGAUUCCUCCCCAAUCCCAAUGCUGCUCCCAUGAUAUUUCUCUUCCCUGCUAAGAGCAGGAGCAAAGUAGCUCACUGGGCAAUUAGAGAAGAACAACCAGGGGAGCCCUUCAAAACCAUUUCAUCAUGUCAUGAAGCCCUGGUCCCAGUUGCUUGGGUCCUCAGAACACCUGAGCACGGCACCGCUGCCGCCGCCCGUGACGCUCGAGCGCUGUCCCUGUCCUUGGAGAAGAGCCUCCUCCCGCUCUCCGGGUGACAAUGAUCUGCUCGUGGCACAGAUCUGGCAUGUCCACCACAUCCCACUCCUGCCCGAACCCCUCACACAGUGAACAAUCCUUCAUCGCUCACGUUCUUGCUCUUUUAUAUCGAAUCUAACUUCAUAACAGAACUGAUUUUUUAUGAUUGAGACAAGUACAUAAAUAUGACAAUGCUUGAGUCGUGAUAUAGCAGCUGAUGGUCACUGGAGAAGAAAGGAAGAGCGGCGCAGAAGGGCUGAGGUUCCUGGCGCGCUGGGCUGUCCGGGCUGGCAGAGAGCGCACAGAGCGCGUUUCCCUGGCCGCGUCCCGCCCGCUCCGGCCGACCCCGGGCUCUGCCAGCGCUGCCGCGCAAACCUUGGCUCCAUCGAGAGCUCGAGCACUGGGCCAGCGACUGUCUGUCCUCCUUAAUUACCAGCCUUUGCUGAUGGUACUCUCCAAAACAAUGCCUGAACGCUGUUUGGACAAUAUCAUACAUCAGGAACCAUUGCCAGGAGGCAGCAUGGGCAGCAUACACUUCCGUGCUCUGAUGGACUGCAGCACAGGAUGUGUGCUCCUUCAUCUGCUUUGAACUGAAAAAAAAACAAGGCAUGAAAAAUGAAUGCUUGUGCUUUAGGAGCACAAGGCCUCCACAUGCUAGAGACCAAGGACUAGGAGCUUUGUGAUGUGGACACAGCCAAAUCCGGGCUGUCUGAGCCCAGGGCGCAGGGCCGUUGUGUUUGGUGCUGCCGGCAGAGCCGGGUGCUCCGCACAGAGCCCGGGUCGGUGGUGGGACGGAAGAGCCGCGUCCCGCCCGGAGCCCCGUGCGGUUCCAUCCAGCCCCUCAGAGGUUUGCGGCAUCUGGCAAGCUCAAGGGAGACGCUGAAGCCAGGAUUUUGUCACCAGUGAAAUGCUUCCGAUCUUUUCUACGUGAACUAAAAAACGGGAAGAUAAACUUGCUUUCAAGCUACGGUCACACUGUGUGUGGCAGUGUGUGUCUGCAUAAAGUGGGAAAAGGUUUGAAAGACAAACAACCUCAAACUUUCAGGUCACAUGAAGUAAGAAAUGUGUUUUAUUUUUCUCAUGGGAGCAUGAUGCAAAAAGCUAAGAAUCAAUAGCUGAAAGAAAAAAGUGUCUGAAGUAUGCAUUUAUUUUAUUCUUCUCAUGUUUUUGCAAGUGAAAAAUGUUGGAUACGGAAAGAAACUGGAGAAGCCUUUCACUUUCUCAAAUGAAAGAAAAGGAAAUUUGAGGAGGACCAUGCUACACUCAGCAUGCAUAUAUUUCUACUGAUUUCCAAAAGAUUGAUUGAAGUGAAAAAAUGUGGCUCUGAAUAGAGAAACAAAAUGUUUCAGUCCCUGGGAAAAUGACAUUGCAAACCACAUUUUCACUGACAAAUCGCACCAGUGACAGUGCGAUUCGGGAGCUGCUCAGAGGGGAUGGGUGACCUCUGGGGAGCUGUGAGCAGGAGGGCUUGGGACCCCAGGAGGGGACAUGGGGAGCCCGGAGCUGCGGCAGCGCGAGGCGCGCCGGGCCGUGCGGCUGCAGAGCGGGCAACGCUGCUCGCCUGCCCUGCCCUUUGCUCUCCCGCCCCACCUGCUCACGGGAACUCUGGUCCCAUGUGAAGUGCAGAUACUCUUGAUCAUUCAGCUCAGGUGUCCUUGCAGAAUAUCAUCAGCACUGUGAUUUGCAGCUGCUCUCACUCUCACAGCCCAGCCAACCUCACCUGUUCGCACUUAUUUAUAGAGUCAAGCGCUGGCCACAAUCUCUCAGGUUCUGGCAGUGUGUGCUGUUGUUCCCUUGCAAGGGUCAGCUCGGUUCCUCACCUUGUUUCACACCCGCUCAGCUGUGGCACCGGCCCAUUUCCUGCGGGACGUUCCAGCGGACUGCUCAAAGCUGCCUGGGAAAAUGUCCCUGCUGCUGCUCCAGCACUCCGUCUUCUGGGCCCGCAAGCAGGCACAACACUUUAUUUGCAUUAUUUUUACAUGGACUUUAAAAAUAAAAUCCAGCCCCCAAAGUGAAAAGUCCCCCCUGUAUUUUUGUGACCAGCAGCUCUUUCCCUGGAGAGCCUGUGAGCCCAGGAUUGUGAAGAAUGUUCCCAUGCAGCUUCCACAGCACCACCCGUCAUGGAAACCGGGGCUCUGCCAGCGGCCGGGCCGCCGGGGAGCGGGCGGAGCGGAGCCCGGAGCCCGGCCCCGGCUGCGGCGGCGGCGCUCGGCAGGGCCGGGGCCGCCCCCUGGUGGCGGCGGGGGGAGGGCGGAGCCGGGCUGGGCCCCGUUCCGCAGGGCGGGCGGCCGGCGCCGCCGCUCCGGGCGGUGCCAGGAGCCGCGUAUCGGGCUGUGCGGUGAGCGGGUGGUUCGGGUGUGCGGGGGGAGGAGAGCGCUGCCAACACCGUGCUAGAGGCGACCAGGCUGGAGCAACGGGAAACGUGAGCACUGAGCAGUGGCUACAGGUGCAAGGCAUGUUCCCUGCCAUGUUUCCCUCCCGUUUCUUGCAUCCAUCACCCUAAAUUUGGCUUCGUGUCUACUAAGAAGUUGCAAAUCCUCAGGGCUAGAGCGGCCUCAUCCUGGCUUGGGAACACCAUGUGUGCAAAGCUUACCCAUCAGGUUAGAAGCUUACCUGCUUGGAAAAGUGACUCUGCCUCAUGAAGAAGUGACCCUGCCUGCUACAGUUUUACGAUUCAGCGUUGGUAUUUACUCAGCCUUUGACAGGAAGCUGCGAGAGCAGCCCCGACGCUAUCGAGCCCUUCGAUCUGCCCUGCGUGCAGCCUACAGAGCCCUGCGCGGUCCCUGCAGGCGUUUUAACCCGCUCAGCAGGGUGAUCGGUGCGCUGACGCUGAGCCUUCCUUGGGCAGUGUGCUCUGAUGGGCACUGUCUCGCCUCUCUGGGUGCCAAUUGUAAGUUCACUGUCUGGAUAAGGCUGUGGUGCUGAUUAAAAUACACUUUUUACCGUGCUCUGUUGGAUUUGUGUGAUGUUCCAUAAGCUGCUUUGAAAGUAGACGUUGGUUUAUAUAUUUGAAUUCCUGAGACUGAGGGUUUUCAAAGCUCACUGGCAUUCACAUUCUGGGAUAAGAUUAAGCUGUCAAGUUCAACAGAACUUCUUCUCUCUCUUAUUUUUCCACGCUCUUGCCUGGAGGAGUCCCCAAUUCACACCUGACUGAGUAAAGAAUGUCAAACAACUCAGCUGCUCUGGCAAAAGGGGAGAAAUCCCUGGUUAGUACAUACUGGUGUUUCAGCCUGCCCCGGUGCUCUGGGCAGUGUCACAUGGAGCUGGGCAGUGGGAAGAUGUGUGCUGUUGGAAUUGCACUGAAGUGGAAAAUGCUCUGGAAGGUCUCAAAAGCUCCAUCGCAAGAGGAAAGAUGUGACUGGAAACACAUACAGUGUGGUGGAGAUAUUGUGGUCUGUUUGGUGGGUCUGUCCCAGCUCAGCUCUAGCAGGGAGGUAUAUGGUUUAGUGAAUAUUCUCUGAAGA